rnacentral:rRNA from 1 species
ACGCUCGACACCUACGGGAGGCAGCAGUGGGGAAUAUUGCACAAUGGGGGAAACCCUGAUGCAGCGACGCCGCGUGAGCGAAGAAGUAUUUCGGUAUGUAAAGCUCUAUCAGCAGGGAANAAACUGACGGUACCUGACUAAGAAGCACCGGCUAAAUACGUGCUAGCAGCCGCGGUAAUCUGAGCGGCUGGCAAGGC